UGAUACUGUUAGUUGACAAUUUAGUUUGAGAAACUCCACAACUGAAACUAUCGAAAUCCGCAAAAGGAAUGUAUCUAGUGUACUCUAUACACAAUUACAGUCUAGAGAGAAGACAGGAGUAAACAACGUUUCCUUCUCCAGGACAGGAAAAAAUUCAAAACUAUUACAGGGACCCGCUGAAGAUAGGAAAAAUGCGGGUUGGAAUGAAGAGUAUCCUGGAACGAGGGAGAUCACGAGGACGGGUUUCUCUCCCUCAGGUUGGAGUUAGUCUCCAACACUCAGCUACAGCAGGGAUGUCAA